AUGCUGAACUUGAGUAAUAACUAUGAUGGGCACCAGUCAAUGCACUCCACAUGAGCUGACCUCUGAGGUUUCCACAAACGUAGGAAAUUCUACCACAUAGUUUGUGGUAAUGGGGGACUGCUUCCAUGCUCUCCCCUG
rnacentral:snRNA from 10 species